rnacentral:rRNA from 1 species
AUUGAACGCUGGCGGCAGGCCUAACACAUGCAAGUCGAACGAGUGGCGGACGGGUGAGUAAUGUCUGGGAAACUGCCUGAUGGAGGGGGAUAACUACUGGAAACGGUAGCUAAUACCGCAUACCAUCGGAUGUGCCCAGAUGGGAUUAGCUAGUAGGUGGGGUAAAGGCUCACCUAGGCGACGAUCCCUAGCUGGUCUGAGAGGAUGACCGGCCACCCGGGGACUGAGACACGGCCCAGACUCCUACGGGAGGCAGCAGUGGGGAAUAUUGCACAAUGGGCGCAAGCCUGAUGCAGCCAUGCCGCGUGUAUGAAGAAGGCCUUAGGGUUGUAAAGUACUUUCAGCGGGGAGGCGUUACCCGCAGAAGAAGCACCGGCUAACUCCGUGCCAGCAGCCGCGGUAAUAC